UGCAUAGUGGUGUAAUGGUUAGGGUGUUGGACUGGGACCUGAGAGGCCAGGGGUUCAAAUCCCCACUAGGCCA